UAAAUAUGUAAUGCAUCACGUUACUAUACAAUACUACUAUGACAAUAUGCAAAGAAUUUGAAAGAUCUUUGAAAUAAUUUACAACUUGACAUGGUUCAAUGAAAGAGAAAAUGUCCAAAAUUGAAAAUGUCUCAGCAAGAGAUAUCAAACAGUCUUGUGGUUAUGAAAAUUUUCUACAAUAGAACAUCAUAUCAGUAACAAAAUCAAUUUAUUGAAUUUUAAAUGACCCUUCUAAGAUUGGAAUUGCAUCAAUUGUAUAAUUAAUGAUAAGUCCCUUUAGCAGAGCACUGGAUAAGAGAGCAGUUUGCUUAAGAUAGCAGAGCCAUUUAAAUGAGUGCUGUGUCAACAACAAUCCGCAUAGAGAAGUAAUCCGCAUAGAGCAGCAAUCCGCAUAGAGAAGUAAUAUUCUAAGAAAGAUUUAUAAAGGUCUGUUUCCAAUCAUAUGGAACUGUACAUCACUGCUCAGGAUGCACUGUUGAGAUGUUUUGAAAUAUGCAAUAUGAUUAAAAGAAAACAAGUGGAGGAAGAUGAAAGGGUUGAACAAGACAAUGAUGAUGCUGAAAUUGUUCAAAAAUUAAUAAAACCUAUUUUUUGCAGAGUUGCACUUUUAUUUAAGCAUGGUGAUAAAAUUUUUAGACAAAAUGAUCGAAAAGAAAGAUGGAGUAAUUCCAUCCAAAAGAA